rnacentral:sRNA from 1 species
UGAAUGGCUUAGUGAGACCUCCGGAUUGGCUUCGGGGAGCCGGCAACGGCACCCUGUCGCUGAGAAGCUGGUCAAACUUGGUCAUUUAGAGGAAGUAAAAGUCGUAACAAGGUUUCCGUAGGUGAACCUGCGGAAGGAUCAUUAGCGAAGCUCGGAACACAUAUCCGGUACUGAUGCUGCCCAGCAAUGGGAUGUGCUCGUCUGGACGUGUGUCCCUUCUCUAUUCCACCCCACUGUGAACCAAGCGUGUGAGCCGAAGAGAGAUCGGAGGCUCGCAUGCAACACUUAACAUACCCCAAUGAAGUAUCAGAAUGUACCUUGCGUUAACUCGCACAAAUACAACUUUCAACAACGGAUCUCUUGGCUCUCGCAUCGAUGAAGAACGCAGCGAAAUGCGAUAAGUCAGUGAAUCAUCGAAUCUUUGAACGCACCUUGCGCCCCUUGGCAUUCCGAGGGGCACGCCUGUUUGAGUGUCGUGAACUCCUCCACUCUCUACCUUUUUCGAAGGGUACGUGAGCUGGGAUUUGGGAGCUUGCGGGUCCCUGGCCGAUCCGCUCUCCUUGAAUACAUUAGCGAAGCCCUUGCGGCCUUGGUGUGAUAGUCAUCUACGCCUCGGCUUAGCGAACCUAUGGGAAUUGCUUCCAACCGUCUCGCAAGAGACAACGACUUACCAACUUGACCUCAAAUCAGGCGGGACUACCCGCUGAACUUAAGCAUAUCAAUAAGCGGAGGAAAAGAAACUAACAAGGAUUCCCCUAGUAACUGCGAGUGAAGCGGGAUGAGCUCAAAUUUAAAAUCUGGCGUCUUCGGCGUCCGAGUUGUAAUUUAGAGAAGCGUUUUCCGCGCUGGACCGUGUACAAGUCUCCUGGAACGGAGCGUCAUAGAGGGUGAGAAUCCCGUCUUUGACACGGACCCCCAGUGCUCUGUGAUACGCUCUCGAAGAGUCGAGUUGUUUGGGAAUGCAGCUCAAAAUGGGUGGUGAACUCCAUCUAAAGCUAAAUAUUGGCGAGAGACCGAUAGCGAACAAGUACCGUGAGGGAAAGAUGAAAAGCACUUUGGAAAGAGAGUGAAACAGUACGUGAAAUUGUUGAAAGGGAAACGCUUGAAGUCAGUCGCGUUUGCCGAGACUCAGCCGCAAGGUGUACUUCUCGGUGGACGGGCCAGCAUCACUUUCGAUCAUCGGAAAAGGGCGAGUGGAAUGUGGCACCUCCGGGUGUGUCAUAGCCUCUCGUCGUAUACGGUGACCGGGAGUGAGGACCGCCUUUGUAGGAUGCUGGCGUAAUGGCU